GAGAGAAUGAGGAGAGGACACCGCUAGGGGCCAGUCACUUCCAUGGAGUAAGAAUGGAGUACUUCUGUGGGUUGAAGCUGGAGUCUUGUCCACGUUGAGUGUGGGGAAUGCUUGGUGCCCAGCUGUUGGUGUCACUUGAGAGAUGUGGUCUUCCUGGAGAAAGCAGGUGGCUGAGGGUUGCCUUUCAAGGUUGUACUGGGCUCCAGUUUGUGCCUCUGCAGCUGCCUCCUAUCUGCCAUGAGGUGAACAGAUCUUCAGCUGCCACGAUGGUCUGACUGAGUACACGGAGCCAAGCACGCACGGGCAGAACCCGUCUGAAACUUUGAACCAGAAGACAUUUCCCUCCCUUAAACUGGGCCGCCAGAUAUUUUGUCACAGGGAUGGGGAAAGUAACUAAAGCUGUGGAAUUUAGCCAAGUGCCUACUUCAAGUAAGACACCACUGAAGAAUAAACAUUAGCACUGACAAUACCCAGAGAGCCAGGUGGGCGCCAGGAACUGCAUAGUUGGCCGUGUUUUUCUUUUGGAGUCUAGAAUAUGAAUGUUCAAAAAAAUAUAAUUAAUCCAGUCUGAUUCACAUAUAUCUGUUUCUAAUACGGCACUAAUGGGUAGUUUGCAGCCCCUGAGAGGACCCAGCUUUUGUGGAUUCCUGUAAACCUGCGGUCAUCUACCUUGACUCUGAACGCACUCAUCAAGCGUGGGUCAAUACCACUAAGAGGAAAGUUCUCAGUUUUGAUUUCUCUCAGACCCCUUGCCCAUCCGCUGCCAACCUUCUCCUAUCUGUGCCAAACUUUCACCUAAAGAUAAAAAGAAAAUACUUUUAAUUCGUUACAGUUCAUUAAAAUGAAAAUAAAAUUUAUUUUGCAUCAAAAUG